rnacentral:ncRNA from 29 species
UAUUUAGUUUGUUGUAUAGAAUACCAAUGUAGUUGUUUUGCGGUGUAGGGAAGCCGGUUUGAAUCCGGCGCACUCCCGGUGCUGUAAGAAGGAACGAAAUUCCAGAGCCACUGUUCGAAAGGACGGGAAGGCGGAAGAGUAGGUUGGACCUUCGAGCCAGAAAACCUUACCGUAAAAUGAAUCACCGU